GCGGAUAUGGCGAAAUUGGCAUACGCGCACGAUUCAGGUUCGUGUAGGUUGCACUGUGCAGGUUCGAAUCCUGUUAUCCGCACCA
rnacentral:tRNA from 1 species